rnacentral:rRNA from 1 species
GCGGCCUAUCAGCUUGUUGGUGGGGUGAUGGCCUACCAAGGCGACGACGGGUAGCCGGCCUGAGAGGGUGUCCGGCCACACUGGGACUGAGAUACGGCCCAGACUCCUACGGGAGGCAGCAGUGGGGAAUAUUGCACAAUGGGCGCAAGCCUGAUGCAGCGACGCCGCGUGGGGGAUGACGGCCUUCGGGUUGUAAACCUCUUUCACCAUCGGCGAAGCCGGGAGCUUGUGUUUCUGGUGACGGUAGGUGGAGAAGAAGCACCGGCCAACUACGUGCCAGCAGCCGCGGUAAUACGUAGGGUGCGAGCGUUGUCCGGAAUUACUGGGCGUAAAGAGCUCGUAGGUGGUUUGUCGCGUUGUCCGUGAAAUUCCCUGGCUUAACUGGGGGCGUGCGGGCGAUACGGGCAGACUGGAGUACUGCAGGGGAGACUGGAAUUCCUGGUGUAGCGGUGGAAUGCGCAGAUAUCAGGAGGAACACCAGCGGCGAAGGCGGGUCUCUGGGCAGUAACUGACGCUGAGGAGCGAAAGCGUGGGGAGCGAACAGGAUUAGAUACCCUGGUAGUCCACGCCGUAAACGGUGGGUACUAGGUGUGGGUUUCCUUCCUUGGGAUCCGUGCCGUAGCUAACGCAUUAAGUACCCCGCCUGGGAGUACG